CUCGGUGUACCUGUAAUUCGGUUGGUUUCUUCCCCCAUAUAUUCCACCCUUGAGGGCAUCUUCAAACCGUCCACGUCGGGAUCUCCCCGUCUCCUCCUCUUGUUUCUCCUCCCCUUCUCCUUUCUAGCUUCGUUAAUUUGUCGCGGAUCUUGCGCGGAGCCGCUGACCUGCCUUCGAUUGGAGAUCGCCGCGCUGUCCUCUUUGGAAUCGUUCUUUUCCCGAGGAGGUUUUGAUAUAUUACUUUUUUAGAACGCACACAAGUUCUAAUUUACCUAGGUAAGGUCCUAAUGCCACCAUGACAUCAAAGCUACUUGUUAGUGGGUUAGAAAAAUAAGAAACCUCAUGAAGAAUAUCAAGUUGUGCCUACUUCUUC